UGAGCGGAGAUUAUGGAGCUUGCUUUAUAUAACUUAGCAGCGAACGGGUGAGUAACACGUAGAUAAUCUAUCCUAUACUGGGGGAUAGCCCGAUGAAAGUUGGAUUAAUACCGCAUAUAGCUAUAUAGUUGCAUGAUUAUGUAGUGAAAGAUUUAUUGGUAUAGGAGGAGUCUGCGGCACAUUAGCUAGUAGGUGAGGUAAAGGCUUACCUAGGCGACGAUGUGUAGCCGGUCCGAGAGGAUGAACGGCCACAAUGGAACUGAGACACGGUCCAUACUCCUACGGGAGGCAGCAGUGGGGAAUAUUGCACAAUGGGGGAAACCCUGAUGCAGCAACGCCGCGUGAGUGAAGAAGGUUUUCGGAUUGUAAAGCUCUGUUAGCAGGGAAGAGGAAGGACGGUACCUGCAGAGGAAGCCACGGCUAACUACGUGCCAGCAGCCGCGGUAAUACGUAGGUGGCAAGCGUUGUUCGGAAUAACUGGGCGUAAAGGAUGCGUAGGCGGUUAAACAAGUUAUAUGUUAAAUAUAUAGGCUUAACCUGUAGAAAGCAUAUAAAACUGUUUAACUAGAGUGCAGGAGAGGUAAGUGGAAUUCCUAGUGUAGCGGUGAAAUGCGUAGAGAUUAGGAAGAACACCAGUGGCGAAGGCGACUUACUGGACUGUAACUGACGCUGAGGCAUGAGAGCAUGGGGAGCAAACAGGAUUUAGAUACCCUGGUAGUCCAUGCU
rnacentral:rRNA from 1 species